rnacentral:rRNA from 1 species
UGGGGAAUCUUGGACAAUGGGCGCAAGCCUGAUCCAGCCAUGCCGCGUGGAUGAUGAAGGCCCUAGGGUUGUAAAAUCCUUUCGUUGGGGACGAUAAUGACGGUACCCAAAGAAGAAGCUCCGGCUAACUUCGUGCCAGCAGCCGCGGUAAUACGAAGGGGGCUAGCGUUGUUCGGAUUUACUGGGCGUAAAGCGCGUGUAGGCGGGUCGUUAAGUUGGGGGUGAAAUCCCGAGGCUCAACCUCGGAACUGCCUUCAAAACUGGCGACCUGGACCUAAGUAGAGGCAAGUGGAAUUGCGAGUGUAGAGGUGAAAUUCGUAGAUAUUCGCAGGAACACCAGUGGCGAAGGCGACUUGCUGGACUUAUGGUGACGCUGAGACGCGAAAGCGUGGGGAGCAAACAGGAUUAGAUACCCAAGUAGUCCCUGAGCGGGCUGGCAAGGCGCAU